rnacentral:rRNA from 1 species
GACGAACGCUGGCGGCGUGCCUAAUACAUGCAAGUCGAACGCAGUGGGGACGGGUGAGUAACACGUGGGUUACCUCCCAUCAGAGGGGAUAACACUUGGAAACAGGUGCUAAACCGAUAUUGAUGGAUGGUCCCGCGGGGAAUUAACUAGUUGGGGGGGUAACGGCUCACCAAGUCCACGAUCCAUAGCCGGCCGGAGAGGGUGAGGGGCCACAGUGGGACUGAGACACGGCCCAGACUCCUACGGGAGGCAGAAGUAGGGAAUCUUCGGCAAGGGACGAAAGUCUAAAGGAGCAACGCCGCGGGAGUGAAGAAGGCCCUCGGAUUGUAAAACACUGUUAGUAGAGAAGCGGUAACUAACCAGAAAGCAACGGCUAACUACGUGCCAGCCGCCGCGGUAAUAC